rnacentral:tRNA from 1 species
GAGGGUAUAGCUCCGUGGUAGAGUGCAUGCUUAGCAUGCAUGAGGUCCUGGGUUCAAUCCCCAGUACCUCCU